UAAUACUAGCGGUCCAAGUCGCAGCCAUUUUUAUUGGGUCUAAAACAUCCGUAGCUUGCUUGAUAAGUUUAUUGUGAAAUCUCAUCUCUCAAGGAUGAGGCGAGCAAUAAGUACUAUCAGGCUAGAGACUGGAAGACGUAGGAAGUACGAUCAAAGUAGUGGUAAAAUACGUUAAUCUUGAUCGGACUCACAAUAGCGAAGGCAUCCUACGAGGACAGUUCUGACAGUAAGGGAUGAAAGCUAGGGGCGCAAAACGGAUUAGAUACCCGUGUAGUCCUAGCCGUAAACACCGCACACUAAACAUCAGUACCUCCUCGAGAGGUAUUGGUGCUGAAGGGAAGCCGAAGAGUGUGCUACCUGGGAAGUAUAGUCGCAAGGCCG
rnacentral:rRNA from 1 species